CCUACGGGUGGCUGCAGUCGAGAAUCUUCGGCAAUGGGCGCAAGCCCGACCGAGCGACGCCGCGUGGAGGACGAAGGCCUUCGGGUUGUAAACUCCUGUCGAGGGGGAACAAGGGGCGGUGCAGAGCCGCCCUUGAGUGAUCCCUGGAGGAAGCACGGGCUAAGUUCGUGCCAGCAGCCGCGGUAAGACGAACCGUGCGAACGUUAUUCGGAAUCACUGGGCUUAAAGCGCGCGUAGGCGGGCCGGCGCGUCGGAUGCUGAAAGCCCCCGGCUCA
rnacentral:rRNA from 1 species